CCUACGGGAGGCAGCAGCGGGAAUCUUGGGCAAUGGGCGAAAGCCUGACGCAGCGACGCCGCGUGGGCGAUGAAGGCCUUCGGGUUGUAAAGCCCUUUUCUGGGGGACGAGGAAGGACGGUACCUCCGGAACAAGUCUCGGCUAACUACGUGCCAGCAGCCGCGGUAAAACGAAGGAGGCAAGCGUUAUCCGGAUUCACUGGGCGUAAAGCGCGCGCAGGUGGCCUGUCAAGUCGGACGUGAAAUCUCCCGGCUCAACUGGGAGGGGGCGUUCGAUACUGGCGGGCUUGAGGGCAGAAGGGGAAGGCGGAAUUCCCGGUGUAGUGGUGGAAUGCGUAGAUAUCGGGAGGAACACCAGUGGCGAAGGCGGCCUUCUGGUCUGCCCCUGACACUCAGGCGCGAAAGCGUGGGGAGCAAACAGGAUUAGAUACCCUAGUAGU
rnacentral:rRNA from 1 species